rnacentral:rRNA from 1 species
UACGGAAGGCAACAGUGGGGAAUAUUGCACAAUGGGCGCAAGCCUGAUGCAGCCAUGCCGCGUGUAUGAAGAAGGCCUUCGGGUUGUAAAGUACUUUCAGUCGUGAGGAAGGUGUUAAGGUUAAUAACCUUAGCAAUUGACGUUAGCGACAGAAGAAGCACCGGCUAACUCCGUGCCAGCAGCCGCGGUAAUACGGAGGGUGCGAGCGUUAAUCGGAAUUACUGGGCGUAAAGGGCACGCAGGCGGUUAAUUAAGUUGGAUGUGAAAUCCCCGGGCUUAACCUGGGAAUGGCAUUCAAGACUGGUUAGCUAGAGUCUUGUAGAGGGGGUUAGAAUUCCAUGUGUAGCGGUGAAAUGCGUAGAGAUGUGGAGGAAUACCGGUGGCGAAGGCGGCCCCUGGACAAAGACUGACGCUCAUGUGCGAAAGCGUGGGGAGCAAACAGGGAUUUAGAUACC